rnacentral:rRNA from 1 species
UACGUAGGGUGCAAGCGUUGUCCGGAAUUAUUGGGCGUAAAGAGCUCGUAGGCGGUUUGUCGCGUCUGCUGUGAAAACCCGAGGCUCAACCUCGGGCCUGCAGUGGGUACGGGCAGACUAGAGUGCGGUAGGGGAGAUUGGAAUUCCUGGUGUAGCGGUGGAAUGCGCAGAUAUCAGGAGGAACACCGGUGGCGAAGGCGGUGGUCUGGGCCGGCACUGACGCUGAGGAGCGAAAGCGUGGGUAGCAAACAGG